rnacentral:lncRNA from 1 species
CUUCUUCUAUCCAAUGUGCUUUGGAUUUUUUCUGGAAAAUCUUUGCCUACACUCAUAGACAUUUCUUCAAAUGUGCACUUGCAGCCUUUUAAUUUUUGCCUCAAUUAAUAGAGAGUCAUUCUUGUCCCCUAGUUGUACUUGAACCAGUUGCAACUUAUCCCUAGCUUGCAUUAUCUUAUCCUCCAAGCUGCCCAUAUACUUAUCUUUUAGCUACUUGAGAGGUGUUUUACAUACCUAUAACUUCCUCCAUUGUUUAACCAUACCCCUUUCUUUAACUGGUUUAUUCCAUAGUUGCUGAAAGAGAGAGAAAUC